AGCUAACCAAAGGACAAAAUUCAACAUUUUUUUAAUAAUUAUUGAUCUAGAGAGUCCACAGAAUAUUACUGCAGUGGUUUGGUUCCGAUCGGGCAAAAAACCUAGGACUAGUUCGCAAAAGUAGUUUUUUAACAUAUUUGUGAAUAACAAUUGAACGAUUUGAUUGACAGCAAUGGUUCUUGAGGCAAAGUUGUGCAUUACGAGGAGAUCUAUCAAAUGAUAUGCAUAUUGUGUUGAUAUGUGAAACACCACGUGAUUACAGAGCCAUAAAACUCGUUAGCGCCAACUAGUGGCCGAUUUCUUUCAAAAUUCUUACAGACCUUAAGGUUCAUGAGUCGAACGUACCCAGCGAGUUUCGUUCCGAACAACAUCCGUUAACCCUUUCAAAUAGGUGCUUAAAAUUGUUUGGCCAAUGGCAGCCAUGUUUUUUGAGAUAUGCAAAUGUCCUCAUAGGUACUUGUGCCCCUUCAGACCAAGACACUGCAUACCAAUUUUCAAGUCGAUCGAGCCAACGGUUGCCUAGUUAUAGCCAUUUAUGUGUUUUUUAAAUCUUAUUGCGCCCCCAAGUGGCAGAGAUGCGCAAUUUUUUUUUAUUUGACCAAAGAUUGAGCUCAUACAUAUGUGUACCAAGUUUGGUCAAGAUAUCUCAUUCCGUUCAAGAGUUAUAGUCAAAAUAACAUUUGGCUAACGUUAGCAUAGACGCUUUUUGGCGUACUGUUUCGCGUAAGAAUCGAAAUUUCAACUUUUUUUUGAUAAUUAUUUAUAUUGAGUGUCCAGGGAAUAUUUCUGCAGUGGUUUCGUUCCGAUUGGUUGAAAAUCCUAGGACUAGUUCGCAAAAGUAGGUUUCGGAUAUAGCUCGAUUUUGCGAGAAAACGGUGCGUCGUAGAGCAAAAAAAGGCGCUGUGCACUUUUGUUUGGGCUAACCCAAGGAUUGCAAUGAUGCCAUGUUUUUGAGUCUACGGCUAACGGUUUACGACCUGCGGCCAAAAAUGUCAAAAAUUUUAGUUUUUUGCGCUGUAGCGCCCCCGUUAGGCCGAUUGGGCCGGUUCUUUGUAUCUGAGUAGCGAGCAAGACUACUACCAUCUGACCAAGUUUCAGCUCUCUAGGCCUUACGGUUUGGGCUGCACGUUCAGUUUUAAGGCGGAAAAAUAAUAAUAAUAAUAAAAAUCUUAACAAUUACAAUAGGGUUUCAGCACUGCGUGCUUGAACCCCUAAUAAUAAUAAUAAUAAUAAAAAUCCUAACAAAUACAAUAGGGUUUCAGCACUGCGUGCUUGAACCCCUAAUUAAAGCUGCAAGCAGCAUUUACCGGGGUUCAAGCACAUUAAGGCCUCUGAGGUGGUCUGAGCCAACCUGGAUGCAUGGAUGACAGUUAAACACAUCCAAAAUGGAGAACAGGCUAACAGACAGACACACACACUGAAAGUAAAUGAUUAGACUAAUAUAUGUAUACUCUAUAAGCAUAUGCACACACACACACACAGAAAGAAACACAUAUACAUGCACAAACAUUUUGUUGCAGAUAUAGGUAUUUGAAAUAAGUGAUAGGUGAUAAUAAACUUAUUGCAAGUCUUCUCUUUUUAAGAGUUUAGAUGUCAUUUUCAGGUUAAACUGUAAUCACAAUGUGGCAAAAUAGUAAAAACUGAUAUAUCUGUAAGAACAAAAUGGAAAACAUUGACUCAAUGAGAUUUAAAAUGUUAUAACAGUUACAUUUUUAAUGUUUUGGGAUGAAUUCAUGAGUCAUUUCAACAGUACUGUUCAACUUAACUGAAUGAGCCCAUUAGUGGUCUUCCACUGCCAUCUAGAGGUUAUAAAUUGCAUUUACUCAAGCAACACUGUUUUUAAACAUAACUGUUAUAGUGUUUUUUUUUUUUUUUGCCCAAUCUCUCUUAAAUUUUGCAUGCUUGUUUAGAAUGAAAUUAUGCAUUGUUUUACACAGUUUUGAUAAUGUGUGGGCUUUCUGUUUGUAUUAAUAGGCCUUUGUGUACACUAUGAAAAGAACAUAUUAUAAAAUUACUGGUUUAUAGUUGUCCAAAUGCAAUUGUUCAACAUGUUUUUGAUAAUUAUUGACCUUCAGAGUCUACAGAAUUGUACUUCAGUGGUUUUAUUGAUUUUCAUCUUAAACCGUAUCACAAGUAUGCCAAAGUAACUUUUUAAAAUAAUCUUGAAUAUUUAAUUAACAGCUUUAUUGACAACAUUGGUCCCAGAGGCAAAGUUGUUCAGAAUGAGGAGAUCUAUCAUAUGAUAUGAAGAUUUAGUGUUUUUGAGUGAAUAUAUGAGCAUUUUCAAACAAUUUGGG